GCAAGGAAGGACCAAGCGACCUGAGAAGAGCAGAGGUGCCCCAUGGGGACCACGCUGACUUGUCGCAUGUGCACCAAGGCCAGCCCCACUCAGGGCCCUCACAGGGCUUCUGCAGAGCCGUCCUGAGGCUCUGACAUCUAUGAGUCGGCGGCCAGCAGAGGCGCAGACCCCAGCACAGAGGAGCAGAGGCACCCGGAACAAGCUGUCCCUUAAUGCCACCCCAAGCGGGGCCAGCUCAGGAUGCGGUGUUUGGAGCAGUCCUGCAGCUCUGCGAUCCACGAGGUGGUGGUGGGAGUAGCGCCAGAGUCCACUGCUUUGGAGCCUGCCCCGUCUGAUUCAGGAGUCAUGACGACCAGAAGACGCCAAAAGACCACAAAUUUUUAGACCAAGUUUAUAAAAUUAGGGAUACUCCUAUUUCUUAGACAAUCAAACCAAUGAUCAGAAAGACUAGAUAAAUCACCAUAGUCACAAA
ensembl:lncRNA novel transcript